UUUUCACAAUGAACAGUCUUCUUUGUGUAGUUUUCAUUAUAUUGCACUCUUAUUUUUCAUUAUGUACAUGCCUGCAAUUCGCAGCUCGCUGUUUUUGUUGUUGUAUGGUAUUGUUGUUUUGCCUUCAUUUGUUUUGUCUGGUCCUUUGUAGUUUGAAUGUUGUCACAUGAUCCAAAUAGGACAAGCUCCUUGAUCACCACCCCAUUGGGAAGAAACUAAAUCACGACCCCCAAAUGGUAGUCUUCCCAUGCAGAUACAGGGAUGUCACACAGAUCCAAAUGGAAACAUCGAACACUGUAAAACCCACUGUGCAGACAGGACCAAUGGUGACAAUAUAAGACCAUGCCGAGCUUCAUGGACGGUUCAAACUCAUCCUGCCCAGGAACGGCUGGUAUGUUUUUAUGUCUGAGACAAAUGUUGUGCUCAGUGGAAAUCUGGAUAGGCUUAUUAUUCCUUAUAUUAGUUAACAAUUGGACAUAAUUGAUUAUUUACUCUUUGUUUAUUUAACCAAUCAACAUUCUCAAUAGCUUAUGCAAAUCUUGAAUAUAAAGAGGCCAGAAAUGGUGUUGAUUGUCUAAAAAAAAGAAAGUUUGAUUGACACGUGCUGACUUUUGGAACGUUGGCCUGAACAAUGAAAUGGAAUCAACUGUGAAUUUUUAGGAUUUAGUUUCUCUAAAGAACAUAAUGUCACUUGUACAAUUAAGUAAAAUGUAACUUUUUGUGUUUGUUUUUUUGCAGAUAUGAAAUGCAUAUUUAUAACUUGUCUAACAACUAGCUCAUUCAAAGGUAUAAAAAUGUAUUUUUUGGCAUGUGUAGGGUAUUAUUUUAACUAUGUAGCCUACAGAAUGCUUGUAUGGGCUCAUGUAGGUGUCUGCGUACGUUUGUAUUUAUAUAACAUAUGUCCGUGGGUAUAGAUUAUGUAUUUUUCAGGGAAGGACCAUAUUUGUGGCUGACCCCUAUGUUGUUGCAACAUGGUGAAAGCCUACAGGAUGUGACCCACACAUGCAUUUGCCUGUAAGGCUGAUUAGUAACAACUACAACUUGGAGCAUUGGUUCAUUUUCAAAGAACAGUCAAAUCAUAACAAAUUAAAUGAUCCAAAUUCCAAUUAUUUGUGGGAAGAAAAACAGAUCCAAUCAUGAGAUCAGAGAACUAUUGUUAUCUCCAAUGAAAUUCAGUAUCCAUUCAUAUUGGCAUGGCGUUUCCAUGAUGAUCCAGAAUAGCCUUGUUUGGUUUUGAAGGUAUGUUCCAGUCGAUCCUUUUAUGUUGCCCCUUCAAUUAAAGCAGAAUUGCACUCCAGAUGAUUCAUCCAUUCAUUUGAAGCAAAAUUCUAAAAUGCCACUCUAAAAUUACGAAUGUUUUGUUUCA